rnacentral:misc_RNA from 1 species
ACUGUCUCCUUUUUCUCGUUUUUUUCUUCCUUUCUGUUUCUUACUCCAAAUCUUCAGACGCCAUCGUUAUUCUUUUUAUUUAUUUUCCAUCCAAAUUUGUUUUUCUUUUCUCCGAUCACUUGAGAAGAUAUCUGUAGUCCACUGUUCAGCCACAACGUCGUCGUUUUUUGGUUUAACGGAUAGUGAUGCCGGAGAUGGGAGCAGUAGACCAAGAAGGAAUUGCUCGGC